rnacentral:rRNA from 1 species
GAUGAACGCUGGCGGCGUGCCUAAUACAUGCAAGUCGAGCGAACAGACGAGAGUGCUUGCACUCUCUGACGUUAGCGGCGGACGGGUGAGUAACACGUGGGUAACCUACCUAUAAGACUGGGAUAACUUCGGGAAACCGGAGCUAAUACCGGAUAAUAUUUAGCUUCGCAUGAAGCAAUAGUGAAAGACGGUUCUGCUGUCACUUAUAGAUGGACCCGCGGUGUAUUAGCUAGUUGGUGAGGUAACGGCUCACCAAGGCAACGAUACAUAGCCGACCUGAGAGGGUGAUCGGCCACACUGGGACUGAGACACGGCCCAGACUCCUACGGGAGGCAGCAGUAGGGAAUCUUCCGCAAUGGACGAAAGUCUGACGGAGCAAUGCCGCGUGAGUGAAGAAGGUUUUCGGAUCGUAAAGCUCUGUUGUAAGGGAAGAACAAGUACGUUAGUAACUGAACGUACCUUGACGGUACCUUACCAGAAAGCCACGGCUAACUACGUG